rnacentral:rRNA from 1 species
UGGGGAAUAUUGGACAAUGGGCGAAAGCCUGAUCCAGCCAUGCCGCGUGUGUGAAGAAGGCCCUCGGGUUGUAAACUUCUGAACUAGCCGAAUAAGAGGCCUGUGGACACACAGGAGAAGAAAGUAGGCUAGGAAAAGUCCCGGCUAACUACGUGCCAGCAGCCGCGGUAAGACGUAGGGGGCGAGCGUUACCCGGAAUUACUGGGCGUAAAGGGGGCGUAGGCGGUAAAUCAAGUCAUCUGUGAAAACCUAUUGCUCAACGAUAGGCUAGCGGAUGAAACUGAUAUACUUGAGGACACCAGAGGUAGACGGAAUUACCCGAGUAGGGGUGAAAUCCGCAGAUACGGGUAGGAACGCCGGUGGAGAAGUCGGUCUACUGGGGUGUACCAGACGCUGAGGCCCGAAAGCUAGGGGAGCAAACC